rnacentral:rRNA from 1 species
GAUGAACGCUGACAGAAUGCUUAACACAUGCAAGUCAACUUGAACUUCGGUUUGGGUGGCGGACGGGUGAGUAACGCGUAAAGAACUUGCCUCACAGCUAGGGACAACAUUUGGAAACGAAUGCUAAUACCUGAUAUUAUGAUUUUAGGGCAUCCUAGAAUUAUGAAAGCUAUAUGCGCUGUGAGAGAGCUUUGCGUCCCAUUAGCUAGUUGGAGAGGUAACGGCUCACCAAGGCGAUGAUGGGUAGCCGGCCUGAGAGGGUGAACGGCCACAAGGGGACUGAGACACGGCCCUUACUCCUACGGGAGGCAGCAGUGGGGAAUAUUGGACAAUGGACCAAGAGUCUGUUCCAGCAAUUCUGUGUGCACGAUGAAGUUUUUCGGAAUGUAAAGUGCUUUCAGUUGGGAAGAAAAAAAUGACGGUACCAACAGAAGAAGUGACGGCUAAAUACGUG